UACGUAGGGGGCAAGCGUUGUCCGGAUUUAUUGGGCGUAAAGAGCGUGUAGGCGGUCAGGUAGGUCCGUUGUGAAAACUCGAGGCUCAACCUCGAGACGCCGAUGGAAACCAUCUGACUAGAGUCCGGAAGAGGAGAGUGGAAUUCCUGGUGUAGCGGUGAAAUGCGCAGAUAUCGGAAGGAACACCAGUGGCGAAAGCGACUUCCUGGUCCAGCAUCGACGUUCAGGCACGAAAGCGUGGGGAGCAAACAGG
rnacentral:rRNA from 1 species